UACGUAGGGGGCAAGCGUUGUCCGGAAUUAUUGGGCGUAAAGCGCGCGCAGGCGGUCAAUUAAGUUGGGUGUUUAAGCCCGGGGCUCAACCCCGGUUCGCAUCCAAAACUGGUUGACUUGAGUGUAGGAGAGGAAAGUGGAAUUCCACGUGUAGCGGUGAAGUGCGUAGAGAUGUGGAGGAACACCAGUGGCGAAGGCGACUUUCUGGCCUAUAACUGACGCUGAGGCGCGAAAGCGUGGGGAGCAAACAGG
rnacentral:rRNA from 1 species